rnacentral:rRNA from 1 species
AUGCUGGUGGGCAUCCUGGUUGCGAGCGUCACCUACCAAGCCGGCCUUACCCCGCCGGGCGGCGUCUGGCCGGACGGCAGCGACAGGCACGCCGCCGGCAACCCGGUGCUGCACGACAGCAACAAGCAGCGGUACCGUUUGUUUUUCUACAGCAACUCCGUUUCUUUCUUGGCGUCCAUCGUCGUCAUCCUCCUCCUGCUGUUGGACGAGACGUUGUUCGACCCAAAGCAGGAGUUGGUAUCGGACGAUCAGCAUCUGCUAUGGGUGGCCCAGUCCUCGAUUCUGCUGGCCCUGCUUGGCCUCCUGUGGGCGUACGCCUCCGGCUGCAGCCGGGAGUGGAAGACGUCGGGAUAUGUCGUCGCGCUCGCCGUCGCUGUGCUGCUCUACAUGGCCAUCCAUGUGGCGCUAUCAUGCCACGACAAGAAAGGCAAAAAAACACCUCAAGAGGACGGCAAAUCACCUGGCAAGCAAUGCAGUUCCGAAGACGGUGAAGGAAAGCUAGAGCGGGUUCAAUCUGAGAUUAACACUGUAUAG